ensembl:lncRNA
GACCUGAGAAUUCCUGGACUAUAACAGUCCCUCGUGCCAGCCACAUGUGACCAUUACUGGCCUUUUGUUUCUUACAGUUCAUAAUUUUAUAUAACAGCAGCCAUCAGAAGACAUGGAGCUUCACUCAAGCUAACAAUUAAUUAUUCUUUACACUAGAACUAUAAUCUUACUAUUCAUUAACAUAUUUGCUCUUGUUUUUUAUUAUGGACAUUAAUACAGUUUGACAAGGUCGUUAGGGGUCAAAUUAGAGGCAGUUUGCUUCUUUUCUGUGAAAGAUGAUGAAUUUGAUGAGGAAAAGGAAGCAAUUAGAGCCAAGCUCAGUUCCUGCCACACACUGGAGAAGAUAAACAUUGGCAGAAUGUCUGGGGUUAGCAUUUAUUGAGUGUCUACUAUGCAGUAGGCAGCACCUAGUACUUUCCAUCAUUAUCACAUCUAAUUCCCCAGUCCCUGCAAUAUGGGUCUUGCUAUUCCCUUUUUUCCACUAAGGAAGCAAUAGUUUAGAGAAAUUGGCAUACAUGCCUAUAGCAUUGCUAAAAUCUGAGUCCAGAUUCAUUCAACUAUAAAUCUCAGCUCUUUUUUUACUACACUGGUACCAAGUACAAGGAUCACUGAAAAUUAUUGACAAACUAUGUGAUAGGCCUUUGAAAAACUUUAGCAACAGAAGUUCACUAGUGAGCAAUACUAGAGUGAGUUACAGAUUGGCAGUUUCUUUAAAGUACUGUAUUACAUUGAUAUUAGCAUCAAUAUCAUUUUAAGAAACCCUUCAACAGAAUCAUAGAAAUUGAAGAUCUGAAGAGACUUCAAAUUCUGUCUAAUCAUACUAGAAAAUGUAUAUCUGUUUCCUUGAUCAAGAUGCUGAACAUUUUUAUUACAUCAAGUUUAAUACUCUCUCGAUGCUCUUUGCUAAAGAAGGAAACCAUUGGAAGAGUAAGUUGCCAGGGAUUCAAUGGGGAUUGUGGAAGACUAUUUAAGUGAGAAUUUUAUAAAUAAAUUCAAGUGUUUUAUUUUCCAUCUCCAGGCCUCAAGAACAUAGAAAUAAAUACUCAACUGAUCCUAGACUAGUAGAAAUUUGAUGUUACUUUACCUUAAAGUUCUGUAAUUAUGUUUUAGACUUUCUCAGGAUGAUGAUGAUGAUGAUGAUGAUUGAUGAUGAAAGCACAAUAUAUCACCUUUUGAAGCUGAAAGGGUGGGAAAGGAAUGUUUAGAAGUUCACAUGAAUUAUACACAUUCAGGUUGGAGGUCAGUUAUUUGGAAUCACAUAGAGAAUAAUUUCAAUCCAAUUAAGUUGUGGGGGAGGGUCUAUGCCCUGAUCCCCAUAACCUGUGAGCGGCAAAAACUUCGCAUGUAAGAUAGAGGUCAAGAUUUUUUUUUUUUUGCUUGUAGGUACUUAUUCAGCAUCUGCAGGCCUAAACAAAGAGUCAUAGGUUUCAGCAAAAGCUAUUUUU